AUUUCUGUUGUUACCAGAAUAUUGUAGGAAGGGUGGACUAUGAAGGGAAACACUGGUGUUCUAAGAUAGAUGUUCUGUGUUUGAGAUCUUGCCUUGGUAGCUGGAUGCCUUGGUGCAAGACAUUCAAGGUUGUUUGAUGCGUUCGUGCUCGUCGGCGGGACGGUGCAAGGUGCAACUCCGACGCGGUUCCUCGCCGGUUGGACGGCGUUCAGGCGCAACCCCGGCGCGCACUGAGUACUGCCUCGGCUACAGCCUCCCUCGCUAUGCUCCUGGAUUUGCUAUAUUGAUCAGUGGCGUUCGUGCUAGGGCGAUGAUGAUUAAUCGUGGCUGAAAUAAGUGUGCCUUUGAGCAAUCGUGGCACCUGUGCGUAUCAGGUUGGAUCCUCCCUCUUGUCUCUAGAAUCCUUUUUGAUCCUGUGAUACUUGUUGUUGUCCUUGGAUGGUCAUUCUUGUUGAGUGAUAACCAGGGCAGCUCCACUGUAUGAACAGAUUGAUCUGGUGAUAAGAGAUGACGGGGGUAGGUUAUAUGAUCGAGGAAAGGUGAAUCUGAGCCCGCUAUGCAUC